rnacentral:rRNA from 1 species
CCUUGAAAUACCACCCUUUAAUGUUUGAUGUUCUAACGUUGGCCCGUAAUCCGGGUUGCGGACAGUGUCUGGUGGGUAGUUUGACUGGGGCGGUCUCCUCCUAAAGAGUAACGGAGGAGCACGAAGGUUGGCUAAUCCUGGUCGGACAUCAGGAGGUUAGUGCAAUGGCAUAAGCCAGCUUGACUGCGAGCGUGACGGCGCGAGCAGGUGCGAAAGCAGGUCAUAGUGAUCCGGUGGUUCUGAAUGGAAGGGCCAUCGCUCAACGGAUAAAAGGUACUCCGGGGAUAACAGGCUGAUACCGCCCAAGAGUUCAUAUCGACGGCGGUGUUUGGCACCUCGAUGUCGGCUCAUCACAUCCUGGGGCUGAAGUAGGUCCCAAGGGUAUGGCUGUUCGCCAUUUAAAGUGGUACGCGAGCUGGGUUUAGAACGUCGUGAGACAGUUCGGUCCCUAUCUGCCGUGGGCGCUGGAGAACUGAGGGGGGCUGCUCCUAGUACGAGAGGACCGGAGUGGACGCAUCACUGGUGUUCGGGUUGUCAUGCCAAUGGCACUGCCCGGUAGCUAAAUGCGGAAGAGAUAAGUGCUGAAAGCAUCUAAGCACGAAACUUGC